AUGUUUUGGGCAUGUGCCAAGUCAUCGGAUAGAAGCCAGUUCAAUUACAAUAGGGCUAAGCUUGCACAAACGACAGUAGAGGGUCCGAAAGACAUGAUGAAAACUACACCAGAGCAUUGGUGUAGGGCCUACUUCAGGAUUGGGUCUUUUUGUGACUCAGUUGAGAACAACAUGUGUGAGUCAUUUAAUAAUGCCAUCAUGAGAUCUAGGUUCUAUCCGGUAUUAACUGCAAUGGAAAUCAUUAGAAAGAAGGUCACUGUGAGGAUCCAACAAAACAGAGCAAAGUCUGAGAAGUGGUAUGAACCAUUUGUCCAAAUAUUUUCAAGAAGUUGA
rnacentral:rRNA from 1 species